CAAAGGCUUGGUCCUGACUUUACUAACAGCUUUAACCAAACUUACACAUGCAAGCAUCCGCACCCCCGUGAGAAUGCCCUACACACCCCGCCCGGGAAUUAGGAGCCGGUAUCAGGCACACCCCGUUAGCCCAUGACACCUUGCUUAGCCACACCCCCAAGGGAACUCAGCAGUGAUAAACAUUAAGCCAUAAGUGAAAGCUUGACUUAGUUAUGGUUUAGAGGACCGGUAAAACUCGUGCCAGCCACCGCGGUUAUACGAGAGGUCCAAGUUGUUAGCCUUCGGCGUAAAGAGUGGUUAGAGUUCAAAACAUAAAACUGAGGUCGAACACCUUCAAGGCAGUUAUACGCUCCCGAGGGCACGAAGCACAAUCACGAAAGUAGCCUCACCCCGCUUGAACCCACGAAAGCUAAGAUACAAACUGGGAUUAGAUACCCCACUAUGCUUAGCCCUAAACAAUGAUACUUAUAUACACCCACCAUCCGCCCGGGUACUACGAGCAUUAGCUUAAAACCCAAAGGACUUGGCGGUGCUUUAAAACCAUCUAGAGGAGCCUGUUCUAGAACCGAUAACCCCCGUUAAACCUCACCCCUUCUUGUUUAUCCCGCCUAUAUACCACCGUCGUCAGCCUACCCUGUGAAGGACAAAUAGUAGGCAAAGUUGGCACAGCCCAAAACGUCAGGUCGAGGUGUAGCGUAUGAAGGGGGAAGAAAUGGGCUACAUUCUCUACCUAGAGAAUAACG
rnacentral:rRNA from 1 species